GACGAACGCUGGCGGCGUGCUUAACACAUGCAAGUCGAGCGGUAAGGCCCUUUCGGGGGUACACGAGCGGCGAACGGGUGAGUAACACGUGGGUGACCUGCCCUCAGCUCUGGGAUAAGCCUGGGAAACCGGGUCUAAUACCGGAUAUGACUCCAUGACGCAUGUUGUGGGGUGGAAAGCCUUGUGCGGCUGAGGAUGGGCCCGCGGCCUAUCAGCUUGUUGGUGGGGUGAUGGCCUACCAAGGCGACGACGGGUAGCCGG
rnacentral:rRNA from 1 species